rnacentral:rRNA from 1 species
AGUGAACGCUGGCGGUAGGCCUAACACAUGCAAGUCGAACGGCAGCACAGUAAGAGCUUGCUCUUACGGGUGGCGAGUGGCGGACGGGUGAGGAAUACAUCGGAAUCUACUUUUUCGUGGGGGAUAACGUAGGGAAACUUACGCUAAUACCGCAUACGACCUACGGGUGAAAGCAGGGGAUCUUCGGACCUUGCGCGAUUGAAUGAGCCGAUGUCGGAUUAGCUAGUUGGCGGGGUAAAGGCCCGCCAAGGCGACGAUCCGAAGCUGGUCUGAGAGGAUGAUCAGACACACUGGAACUGAGACACGGUCCAGACUCCUACAGGAGGCAGCAGUGGGGAAUAUUGGGCAAUGGGCGCAAGCCUGAUCCAGCCAUACCGCGUGAGUGAAGAAGGCCUUCGGGUUGUAAAGCCCUUUUGUUGGGAAAGAAAAGCAGCAGGUUAAUACCCCGCUGUUCUGACGGUACCCAAAGAAUAAGCACCGGCUAACUUCGUG